UAAGACGAACCGUGCGAACGUUGUUCGGAAUCACUGGGCAUAAAGGGCGCGUAGGCGGGUCACCAAGUCCGUGGUGAAAGCCCCCGGCUCAACCGGGGAAGUGCUUCGGAUACUGGUGGUCUGGAGUGGGGUAGGGGCAUGCGGAACUUCCGGUGGAGCGGUGAAAUGCGUAGAUAUCGGAAGGAACGCCGGUGGCGAAAGCGGCGUGCUGGACCCCAACUGACGCUGAGGCGCGAAAGCCAGGGGAGCAAACGGGAUUAGAUACCCCGGUAGUCCUGGCCCUAAACGAUGGGUACUAGGUUGUGGACUUGACAUGGGUUCACAGCCGGAGCAAAUGUGAUAAGUACCCCGCCUGGGGAGUAUGGUCGCAAGGCUG
rnacentral:rRNA from 1 species